rnacentral:rRNA from 1 species
UAGGGAAUCUUCGGCAAUGGGGGGAACCCUGACCGAGCAACGCCGCGUGAGUGAAGAAGGUUUUCGGAUCGUAAAGCUCUGUUGUUAAGGAAGAACGAGUGUGAGAAUGGAAAGUUCAUGCUGUGACGGUACUUAACCAGAAAGGGACGGCUAACUACGUGCCAGCAGCCGCGGUAAUACGUAGGUCCCGAGCGUUGUCCGGAUUUAUUGGGCGUAAAGCGAGCGCAGGCGGUUAGAAAAGUCUGAAGUGAAAGGCAGUGGCUCAACCAUUGUAAGCUUUGGAAACUGUUUAACUUGAGUGCAGAAGGGGAGAGUGGAAUUCCAUGUGUAGCGGUGAAAUGCGUAGUUAUAUGGAGGAACACCGGUGGCGAAAGCGGCUCUCUGGUCUGUAACUGCCGCUGAGGCUCGAAAGCGUGGGGAGCGAACAGG